GACGAACGCUGGCAGCGUGCUUAACACAUGCAAGUCGAACGGAAAGGCCUCUUUCGGGGGGUACUCGAGUGGCGAACGGGUGAGUAACACGUGAGUAACCUGCCCUUGACUUUGGGAUAACUUCAGGAAACUGGGGCUAAUACCGGAUAGGAGCUCCUGCUGCAUGGUGGGGGUUGGAAAGUUUCGGCGGUUGGGGAUGGACUCGCGGCUUAUCAGCUUGUUGGUGGGGUAGUGGCUUACCAAGGCUUUGACGGGUAGCCGGCCUGAGAGGGUGACCGGCCACAUUGGGACUGAGAUACGGCCCAGACUCCUACGGGAGGCAGCAGUGGGGAAGAUUGCACAAUGGGUGGAAGCCUGAUGCAGCAACGCCGUGUGCGGGAUGACGGCCUUCGGGUUGUAAACCGCUUUCGCUCAUGACGAAGCUUUGUGUGACGGUAGUGGGUAAAGAAGCACCGGCUAACUACGUG
rnacentral:rRNA from 1 species